UGGCCACAUGCCUGACCUUACUCUCUCUCUCUAUUUCUGUGUGUCUGUUUAUCUCUGUAGGGAAUGAACCAUGCUCCAUGGGAAAUGAACAAGCACCCCUUGACCCAACAAGUGUUGGGAUCACAGGCAGGAUCCAUCACAGCAGUCUGCAACUUGUCACCAUCAUCAACGCUCUCAUCACUCAGAGCUACACACAGCUUUGUUUGUUGAAAAAACAGUUUGGAUAAGGAAAGACAGAGACUCCAUUUGAAGAUUAUUGCAACAGUCUAUCAGUGGAGUGAAAUUUGGAAUAGAAAAGCCCAGUGAAAUACACUGAUUAAUAUUUAUAUAUUUAUGUGUGAAUACCCCUUUUACUUUCGGUAAAUUCUGAAGAGGAUUGAAACAAUUUUUAAUAGUACAAAUACAUGGCAUU
rnacentral:lncRNA from 1 species